rnacentral:rRNA from 1 species
UACGGAGGGUGCGAGCGUUAAUCGGAAUGACUGGGCGUAAAGGGCGCGUAGGUGGUUGAUUAAGUCAGAUGUGAAAUCCCUGGGCUUAACCUGGGAAUGGCAUUUGAAACUGGUGAGCUAGAGUAUCGUAGAGGGGGGUAGAAUUCCAGGUGUAGCGGUGAAAUGCGUAGAGAUCUGGAGGAAUACCGGUGGCGAAGGCGGCCCCCUGGACGAAUACUGACGCUGAGGCGCGAAAGCGUGGGGAGCAAACAGG